rnacentral:rRNA from 1 species
AUUGAACGCUAGCGGGAUGCCUUACACAUGCAAGUCGAACGGAGUGGGGAACGGGGGAGUAAUGUCGCGGACCGUGCCCGGUAGCGGGGGAUACAUCAGCGAAGGCGUAGCUAAUACCGCAUGCUUUUGGCGCGGCCGAUAUCGGAUUAGCUAGUUGGAGGGGGAACGGCUCACCAAGCUGACGAUCCGUAGCUGGUGUGAGAGGACGACCAGCCACACUGGGACUGAGACACGGCCCAGACUCCUACGGGAGGCAGCAGUGGGGAAUUUUGGACAAUGGGGGAAACCCUGAUCCAGCCAUCCCGCGUGUGCGAUGAAGGCCUUCGGGUUGUAAAGCACUUUUGUCAGGGAAGCGGUACCUGCAGAAUAAGCACCGGCUAACUACGUGCCAGCAGCCGCGGUAAUAC